UCCCUGGUGGCUCAGAGGUUAAAGCAUCUGCCUGCAAUGUGGGAGACCCGGGUUCGGUCCCCGGGUUGGGAA
rnacentral:tRNA from 1 species